GUGUUUAUAUAGUGUGUGUACGCGCAUUUAAUGUUAGUGUUUAUAUACUGUGUGUGAGUUAUAUGUCUGUGUUUAUAAAGUGUAUGUGUGUGCGUUAUAUGUUUGUGUUUAUAAAGUGUAUGUUUAUAUAAUGUGUGUGUGGGUGUUUAUAUACUGUGUGUGUGCGUUGUAUGUUUUUGUUUAUAUAGAGUAUGUGUGUUUAUAUAGUGUGUGUGGGUGUUU